rnacentral:tRNA from 1 species
GCCCGGCUACCUCAGUCGGUAGAGCGUGAGACUCUUAAUCUCAGGGUCAUGGGUUCGAGCCCCAUGUUGGGCG